AUUGAACGCUGGCGGCAGGCUUAACACAUGCAAGUCGAGCGAGCGGCGGACGGGUGAGUAAUGUCUGGGAAACUGCCUGAUGGAGGGGGAUAACUACUGGAAACGGUAGCUAAUACCGCAUACCAUCAGAUGUGCCCAGAUGGGAUUAGCUAGUAGGUGGGGUAAUGGCUGACCUAGGCGACGUUCCCUAGCUGGUCUGAGAGGAUGACCGGCCAAACUGGAACUGAGACACGGCCCGGACUCCAACGGAGGGCAGCAGUGGGGAAUAUUGCACAAGGGGCGCAAGCCUGAUGCAGCCAGGCGGCGUGUGGGAAGAAGGCCUUCGGGUUGUAAAGCACUUUCAGCGGGGAGGCGUUACUCGCAGAGGAAGCACCGGCUAACUCCGUGCCAGCCGCCGCGGUAAUAC
rnacentral:rRNA from 1 species